GCAGAACAUGUCGUGUUCUUGCAGAACAUGUCGUGUUCUGCCCUUCUUCAGCCAAAUCAACUUCGUCCUCCCAGUAACUCCUGCAAUCAUACAAAUUUACUAAGACCAAACCAGAAUGUCCCAAAAUUCCGUUCAACAUCCAAACUCUAUUGACUUGACACUAGACUCGCCACGAGACUCAAAAUUGAAAAAUUAAAAAAAAAAGAAAAUACUUAAAACUCGGGUUGCCACCCAAGAAGCACUUGUUAACGUCGUGAGCUUG
rnacentral:lncRNA from 1 species